UUUUUUCGAUUUUCUUUUCUUUCACCGUUGUUUCAUCUGCCCUUCCUAAUGCCCCAACCGUCUUCUCCAUUCUAUUGUUCCCUCCCCUCUUUCUCUCUCUCUCUCUCCACUUGAAGUGGCACCCUCGACAAGGUAGUGAUGAUGCUGAUGUUGUCGCCAACCGCUCCAUCACAGUAUCUCUCUCUCCUCCCUCCUCUCUCUGUCCCUUUCUAAAACCCUACGGUAGCACCACCACCUCCGCCAUUGUCCUUAUGUUUCGCGAGGCGGCCAUCGUCAUCGAAGUCAUUUGGAAGAAGGUAAAUUAGCACAUCACCAAGGUCAACGCUAUUUCUGUCCUCGACCGCCACGAUGCCAUCGCCUAGGCUCCACCUCCGUCACCUUCAACAUCAUGCUCUUCGAGGCCUCAAUGGACGUCGCGGCGCGAUCGAGCCUUAGAUUCGUCCAACUUUUACCAGGUAUUACUAUUCUUCUUCAUCUUCUCUUCUUUCUUCUUUUUGAAUUGUCACUUUAUGCACAUUUUGGAUUCUAAAUUUUUUUCCCUUAAAAUUUCUACCAAUAUUGUGCAGGUUUCUAUACUAGUUAUUAUUAUGUGAGCAAAUUCAUAUGUAUCUUAAAAUUUAUAUACAAAUCAUUCAAACUCUUUUACAUUGUUUAUGCUAACGAAACAACAGCCCAUAGAGACGCGACACUCGAGAAUGAGCAACAAUAUAUAUUUCCCAGCAUUGAUAAUGUGAGAAAUUUUGUUUAUUUAAAGUUUAUUUUGUAAUAGGUAUUUUAUGCAGGCAGAUAAUAAUAUUCAAUAAAAACUUUUCAUUUUAUGUAAAAUUAUAAAAAGUAACCUUCUUGGAACUUACUUUUUACUUGAUUUUCUUUUUUAAGAAGG
rnacentral:lncRNA from 1 species